AAAAAACCUAAACCCUACUUAAUGCCGCUGCUCUCACACUUGGCUCUCAGAUAUCGCAAUUCUCUUUAACCUUAGUCGGCUGCUAGGGUUGGCGAAGGAGUCCAAGGGUCACGAUUGAUAUAUAAGGAUGGUGCAAUAUAAUUUUAAGAAAAUUACGGUGGUCCCUAAUGGGAAGGACUUCAUUGAUAUAAUCCUUUCUCGCACACAGAGGCAGACACCAACUGUCGUCCACAAGGGAUAUGCCAUAAACCGACUCCGUCAGUUUUAUAUGCGUAAAGUCAAGUAUACUCAACAGAAUUUUCACGAGAAACUUUCUACUAUCAUUGAUGAAUUCCCUCGCCUAGAUGAUAUCCAUCCAUUCUAUGGUGAUCUUCUUCAUGUUCUCUACAACAAAGACCAUUACAAGCUUGCUCUUGGCCAAGUAAACACUGCAAGGAACGUUAUCAGCAAGAUUGCCAAAGACUAUGUAAAGAUGUUGAAAUAUGGAGAUUCCUUGUACCGAUGCAAGUGUCUGAAGGUUGCUGCUCUUGGGCGUAUGUGCACUGUGAUAAAGAGGAUCGGGCCCAGUUUGGCCUAUUUAGAGCAGAUCAGGCAACACAUGGCAAGGCUGCCUUCAAUUGAUCCUAAUACUCGUACUAUCCUAAUAUGUGGGUAUCCAAAUGUUGGAAAGAGUUCAUUCAUCAACAAGAUCACAAGGGCAGAUGUAGAUGUCCAGCCAUAUGCUUUCACCACAAAGUCGCUAUUUGUAGGACAUACAGACUAUAAGUAUCUUAGAUACCAGGUGAUCGAUACUCCCGGGAUUCUUGAUCGGCCAUUUGAGGAUCGUAAUAUUAUAGAGAUGUGUAGCAUUACAGCUCUGGCUCAUCUGCGAGCUGCUGUGUUGUUCUUCUUGGACAUCUCAGGGUCUUGUGGCUACAGCAUUUCCCAGCAGGCUGCUCUUUUUGACAGCAUCAAGUCUCUUUUUAUGAACAAACCGUUGAUAAUUGUCUGCAAUAAGACUGAUUUGCAGCCUCUGGAAGGGAUUUCAGAGGAAGACAUGAAGUUGGUCAUGGAGAUGAAGGCUGAAGCCACGAAGACUCUGGUAGGUCAAGGAGGUGAGUCCACAGAUGGUGAGGGUGUGUUGCUGACCAUGAGCACUUUGACCGAGGAGGGGGUAAUCUUGGUAAAGAACGCUGCUUGUGAGAGAUUAUUGGAUCAGAGAGUGGAAUUGAAGAUGAAGUCCAAAAAGAUGAAUGAAUGUUUAAAUAGAUUUCAUGUUGCCAUACCAAAGCCACGUGAUCAGAAGGAAAGGCCACCUUGCAUACCUCAGGCUGUUUUGGAAGCUAAAGCCAAGCAAGCAGCAGAGAAGGAGAAGAGGAAAACGGAAAGGGAUCUGGAGGAUGAGAAUGGUGGUGCUGGUGUAUAUGCUGCUAAUUUGAGGAAAAAUUACAUUUUGGCGAAUGAUGAGUGGAAAGAAGACAUCCUACCGGAAAUUCUUGAUGGUCACAAUGUGUAUGACUUUGUGGAUCCUGAUAUCUUACAGAGGCUUGAGGAGUUGGAACAAGAAGAAGGUAUUCGGCAGGCAGAGGAGGAUGAGGAUGAUUUUGAGAUGGAUGGCAAGGAGUUGACCCCAGAAGAGCAAGCAGCACUGGCCGAGAUCAGGAAAAAGAAAAGCUUGCUCAUUCAACAGCAUAGGAUAAAGAAAAGCACUGCAGAGAGUCGGCCAACUGUACCAAGAAAAUUUGACAAGGAUAGGAAAUACACAGCAGAAAGAAUGGGCAGACAACUAUCAGCUUUGGGGCUUGAUCCCUCUCGGGCAAUUAGUCGUUCCCGCAGCAGGGGCCGCAAAAGGGAGAGAUCACGUGACAGGGAAGGAAACAAUGGUGUUGAUGCAAUGGAUGUGGACCAGCCAAACAAGAAGAUGCGUACUAGGUCUAGGUCUAUGUCAAUGUCUAGGUCUAGGUCACGGCCUCCAAGUGAGGUUGUACCAGGAGAAGGAUUCAAGGAUUCUGCACAGAAGGUGAAGGCUAUCAAAAUUGCCAAGAAAUCUGUUAGGAAGAGGAACAAGGAUGCUCGUCGUGGAGAGGCUGACAGAGUUAUUCCUACACUUAAACCAAAGCAUUUGUUCUCUGGGAAACGCUCCACUGGAAAAACUGAUAGACGCUAGAUAUUUAAGUUUCUUCUGCUUGGCUAUAUUUGCUUCUUCUGAAAUAGUGAGCAUUGUGCUAAUAUUUAGCAUGUCAACUGAAAAUAAUGUCGCGGAAUGGUGGGUUCUCUCUUGCAGAUGUAUUCAAAUACCUGGAAUUGUGUGCACUGUUUAGAAAGUAUGUUUUGUGUUGGACUUUGCAAUUACCAGAAGAGGGGGUAUUUUUUUUCCAGCUUUUUUAAUGUUUCAUGGGCAGCAGAAAAUUUUGAAGGCAUUCUCUGCAAAUUGUAUUGUCUGUGUUUUUUGAACCUUACUUUAUGAUGUUUUAAGGUGUAUCUUUGCGAGUUAUUGUUGAUCCCCUAAUAAGUUGUGAUAGAAUCACUUUCGCAGUUGA